ACAUUGCAAAGAGUGGCGAACGGGUGAGUAACACGUGGGAAACCUACCUCUUAGCAGGGGAUAACAUUUGGAAACAGAUGCUAAUACCGUAUAACAAUAGCAACCGCAUGGUUGCUACUUAAAAGAUGGUUCUGCUAUCACUAAGAGAUGGUCCCGCGGUGCAUUAGUUAGUUGGUGAGGUAAUGGCUCACCAAGACGAUGAUGCAUAGCCGAGUUGAGAGACUGAUCGGCCACAAUGGGACUGAGACACGGCCCAUACUCC
rnacentral:rRNA from 1 species